GCAAUAGCCCCUCCCCCUCCAGAGCCAAGCCUGCGGCCUUGUUCUGCCCGCCCUUUGCCAUCUACCACGUACGGUGGAAUGUCGCUCUAGGAGCUGGCUGCGGACCAGACGUGGAGCAUCGCCAGGUCGUCUGCGGGUCUCAGAGACUCCCGGUCUUGACCACGGCCUUGAGAAGCCCUCAAGUCCUCUCUGCCUGAAGUCGGGAUUGUAUCUGACCUGUUGUGCGAAGUGAACAUCCUGCUUUUCCAAGUGAAAAACCACCCAACCCACUUUCCACCCAUGAAGACCGCGGUGUGAGGACUUGGGAGCCUUGGGUGUUGCACUAGGAUUCAGUCUGUUUAAUUGUAAAACGGCGCAGUGAAGGAAUUACCGUUUAUUCAGAGGCUGACAUGCUGCUGAUUGAGGUACAGAGAAGAGCAAUCAAGAAAAAUGCCAAGACACUAAACUGCGUUUUGAAGGAAGAGUAAGAAUUAAUCAGAGAAGAGGAAGACAGUGUAUUUCAGACAGACUGAGCAGCCUGGGCUGGGCCCACAUGACAGAACAGGGCAGUAGGGAGAAGCGCAAGGAAGUCACUGUGCAGGUGGGGAGGACCCACUGUAGUGGCUCUGAUGAGACCAUGAUGAGACCAUCCUACUGAAAAUGGAAAGCCACUGGAAACUUUUAAACUGGGUGCGCACACG